rnacentral:misc_RNA from 1 species
GAUGAAGAACGCAGCGAAAUGCGAUAAGUAAUGUGAAUUGCAGAAUUCAGUGAAUCAUCGAAUCUUUGAACGCACAUUGCGCCCCCUGGUAUUCCGGGGGGCAUGCCUGUCCGAGCGUCAUUACAACCCUCAAGCUCAGCUUGGUGUUGGGCCCCGCCGCCCCGGCGGGCCCUAAAGUCAGUGGCGGUGCCGUCCGGCUCCGAGCGUAGUAAUUCUUCUCGCUCUGGAGGUCCGGUCGUGUGCUCGCCAGCAACCCCCAAUUUUUUUCAGGUUGACCUCGGAUCAGGUAGGGAUACCCGCUGAACUUAAGCAUAUCAUGCGGAGGA